AGCUUGUGUUACUUGAAAGACCAUGGUUAUGCCGACCCUCGUUGCGUAGCCGCAGUGGUGUAAGAAUCUCAUGAAUUUUCAGAUUUUCCUUGCCGAAAAAGUUAACUGAUGGUGCGACGCGUGUUUCUGUAUUUUGUGACCAGCUGGCUAUGGUGUAGAUCUGAUUCUGCACCGUCCUCCCCCUUUUCUCGGGUAACAACUAUACAGUGGCGGAUCUAGGGUUGCUGGCGCCCGGGGCAAAGCGAAAAAUUACGACCCCUCCCUAUUUGCUGUACGAAUAACAUUAGGAGUAUUUUAAAAGUAAAUAGGUUAUUAAUUAUUAAAAGCUUAUAUGUUUGAAGAA